rnacentral:lncRNA from 1 species
GUUUGAUACCCCCUCUAUUCUUGGACAUAAUUAAAAUGAUUAACGCAGCCACACCUGCUUUCUGUUGACUAUGAUCCAAUUUUAGAUUGUACCACCUAGUAUUUUUUCCUGACAUUAUAAUUUUGCCAUAAUUUUGUAGUUUUUUCAGUACUCAUUGAUAAUGGCUAAUUCCAAACAGUUCCUCUAGUCUAUCAUUUAACUCUUCUUAAAAAUCCCAUGUGCAAUAGUUACAAUAAAAAUUACUUCUUGAAUUGCUGUUUUCCAGAGAGCUGAAAAAUGUGUCUCUACUCUCUGCUUGGGCUGACCUGCUGGCAUUCACAUUGAAUGCCUAAUACAUGCAGUGUGUGAGAGCUGGAGAGAUGACAGAUGACAUCAACUGUAGGAGUAAUUGAGACGAAACACCGCAGUGAGUUCAUCACCUUUUUCAUUAUAUUCAUGUGAGGCGUGAUCUACAGGGCUUUUUUCUUUUGUUUACACAUUACUGCUAAUGGCAGUUGCAACAGUCCGAAUAGCUGUGGAACUGCAUGCACCUUGAUCAUAUGAUCUGCCUGCAAACAUAAUGAAGAACUUAAUAUUCUGUUAUGAAGUAUCUCAUAAGAUUAAAGACUCACUUCUA